rnacentral:rRNA from 1 species
UCCCAGCAGUCCAAGUCGCAGCCACAUUUGUUGGGUCUAAAACAUCCGUAGCUCGCCUAGUAAGUUCUUGGUGAAAUCGGGCCUCUUAAGGGUCCGGCGUGCCUAGAAUACUGCUUGGCUAGGGACCGGGAGGCGUAAGAAGUAUGAUGGGGGUAGCGGUAAAAUGUGUUGAGAUUGGGAAGAACACCGGUGGCGAAAGCGCUCUACUGGACUUAUACUGACACUGAGGGACGAAAGCUAGGGGAGCGAAAGG